GGAAGGGCCGCGGCUGCCGGAGCUGCCGCCGCCGGGCUCGGCCUGCGGUGGGGCUCGCAGGAGCGCUUGUUACCCACUAAAAUCGCAUUCGUUGCCCAGUGUAGAACAAGGGAAUCAUCUCAAGAGUUGCGCAAGCCUGGGUGCGCGGUGUUACUCCACAAACCAAGCACGGCAAUUAACAAAACUUUUUACUAUUUAUACAUUCUAGCCGACAAAGAAAUUCGUGUUCAUUGGCUACAAGUUACACGGUUCUCUUAAUUAUCAAAAUUCUAUCAAUAUCAGUGGACAUCCUUCUUCCCAGGCUUUGCUAACCUUCCCAUAGGUCUGAGGUCAGUGGAACAUGUCAAGCCCCAACCCGUGACAAGGCUUGAAAGCAUACAAAGAUCAAACAAAGAACCACCUUUCUUAGGAAAAGUGUACAUAGCGACGCUGGCUCUGCAGAGGGGCAUGCCCAGCACUCCCGCAGUCCCAGCCAAAGCUGAUCCUACAGACAGAGAUGCUACAAACACACACAUGAGGAAAAUGUUCCUGCAGCACACAACGGAGUCAUAAGGUACGCAAGAAAAAAGUCCAGAACGUGCCCCAACCUGCUAUGAUGGGCACAGUGACACAGCUCUUCAAGUACUUCAAACUGGACAACCUGGCAAUGGUGGAAUGUCAAGAAGAAGAAAGCCCUGGAAUUAGGGAGUAUUGCACAGCAUAUGUGGGAAGACAGCUCAUCUAAAACCCCCUAGAACAAGAGCAAUUCCAUCAGAUGGGAAGAAGACAAAAGAAGCCAGUGGAAAUGUGGAAAUCAGAUUUUAAAAAUCGGAAGCAACUUUUAAAAUCUCAGAAAAGAAGACACCAAAGUAACCAGAGAAAAAGACAAAACAAACCAAGCAGUCCUGAGCAUUGAGGGAGAUUAGAGGUUUUGCCAUAGAUCUCUUGGCUGGUUGGUGACCCAGUGGAACUGGUGGGGGGAAGAUGUAGAUUUUUUUUCCCCUCCCCCUUUGCAGGGCUACAUUAGGUCAAAGUCAGGUUGAGGAAAUUAAACCAGUAGUGUCCAAGUAUUAAGAGAAAUAACUGUUAGGUACCACACUUGAUUUUCAUUGAGCAGCAUUUCAUUGUGCAGAUUUCAGUAGCAGUAAUGAGCUAAAGUAGCUAUUACUCCAAUUUUUCUUCUUUUAGUUUUAAUUGUAUCCAAAAUCACAGAUUAUUCAAGUAAAAUGUCAUACAAACCUUUAUUUUCCCUUUGGCUUAUGAUACUAGAAUGUAUAAAGUUGGUAAACUGUUUUCUUCCCUCAGCACUUUCUGAUCACAAAUUAAUAGAAGAAUUUGAAAGACAGUAAUUAUGUAACUGUUCUUGUACUUUUGUAUCAUCCUGAAACAGGAAGAGCACAUUCUCUUCCAAAAUCAUGCUCUGAGAAAACUCCUAGCUUGCAGAAACUGCAUACAUGCAUGUUAGAAAUAAUGGCAAAGCACUUUAAUCAUUCAGAUAAUAAUUCAAUUAAUUAUCACAGAAUAGCCUGGGUUGAAUGGGACCUUAAAGAUCACCUAGUUUUAAGAAAAGUGUUUUGAAGAGCUGCCAGCUCUGGUCAGCUUCUUUAUCUUUAAGGACAAUUUUCCAGGGAGUCUUAUUCAGCAACUCCUAAACAACUGGAAGUCUGUUCUUUCAAAUUCAGGGCCCUGACUUAGCUCCUUGCCAGGCUCACAAUCCUCACAAACUCCACCAGAGAGUAGUCAUUACAGUCCACGCUGCCACCAAUCUUAGCCCCUCUAAUGAGCUCAUCUGCAUUGGGAAGCACCAGCUCCCAUAAUCCUUCUCUUCUGCAAUGCCUGCACCAGGAAAAUGUCUCUACACACUCCAGGAGUC